rnacentral:lncRNA from 1 species
AUUUGUGCGGAUGCGGAUGUCUGCUCACUGGCUCCCUCCACACCAAAGCACAGUGCCCUGCAGGAGCCCCGAGGGGAGGAGUGCGUGCUGCAGAGGAGGACCAGUUCCGUAUGUUUUUCUGAGAACUUUGCAGGAGAAGUCAAUGCUUAGCUCUGAAGGGCGGACCUGGAAAGGCCUUGAAGGUGGAGAAAGAAAAGCAGAGGACACAGUGGCCUAAGACUUGGCCCAGGCAGCUGCGAGCUGUUCACAGCACUGUGUUAGGGAAGGAACAACCGCAGGUGGAGAAGUGGACAAACCCGUGCGCUGGCUGGGAAGUGGUUAGGCUCUGCGUUCAAACUGCCUGGCUUUGAAGCCACACUUGGC